UGGGGAAUAUUGGGCAAUGGGCGCAAGCCUGACCCAGCAAUGCCGCGUGUGUGAAGAAGGCCUGCGGGUUGUAAAGCACUUUGGGCGGGGAAGAAGGGGCUUGGGUUAAUACCCCCGGUCCUUGACGUUACCCGCGGAACAAGCACCGGCUAACUCCGUGCCAGCAGCCGCGGUAAUACGGAGGGUGCGAGCGUUAAUCGGAAUUACUGGGCGUAAAGCGUGCGUAGGCGGAGCGGUCAGUCUCGCGUGAAAGCCCCGGGCUCAACCUGGGAACUGCGCGGGAUACUGCCGUUCUGGAGUGCGGGAGAGGGCGGUGGAAUUUCCGGUGUAGCAGUGAAAUGCGUAGAGAUCGGAAGGAACACCAGUGGCGAAGGCGGCCGCCUGGACCGACACUGACGCUGAGGCACGAAAGCGUGGGGAGCAAACAGG
rnacentral:rRNA from 1 species